CCUACGGGAGACAGCAGUGAGGAAUAUUGGUCAAUGGACGAGAGUCUGAACCAGCCAAGUAGCGUGAAGGAUGACUGCCCUAUGGGUUGUAAACUUCUUUUAUAUGGGAAUAAAAUGUUCCACGUGUGGGAUUUUGUAUGUACCAUAUGAAUAAGGAUCGGCUAACUCCGUGCCAGCAGCCGCGGUAAUACGGAGGAUCCGAGCGUUAUCCGGAUUUAUUGGGUUUAAAGGGAGCGUAGGUGGAUUGUUAAGUCAGUUGUGAAAGUUUGCGGCUCAACCGUAAAAUUGCAGUUGAAACUGGCAGUCUAGAGUACAGUAGAGGUGGGCGGAAGUCGUGGUGUAGCGGUGAAAUGCUUAGAUAUCACGAAGAACUCCGAUUGCGAAGGCAGCUCACUGGACUGCAACUGACACUGAGGCUCGAAAGUGUGGGUAUCAAACAGGAUUAGAUACCCCGGUAGUC
rnacentral:rRNA from 1 species